AGGACUUCAUGGGGCCGGAAGUGUAAGAUGCGGUGGGGCUCGUCUGCUGUGCACACACAAGCCCCUUGCAAAGGCACAGGAAAUAAUAUGUGGACAACUUUGAACAAUGCAGUGACAAGAGCCUGGACCCGCUGGGUGGAGGGUUCCAUCUCUCUGUACCUAAGAUCUCCCCAGCCUUCAUCAACAGUGUUCAAUCUGCUGCCAUUAAGUCUCUAUCGCAAGUGAUCUCAUCCCUUCUCCCAGUGUCUCUGUAACAGCGUUCUCAACAACCAUUUUAUCGACAAGUUUGAAAGAUACCCUUCCAGAAAAUGGAGUCCAACUCCUCACCUUGGAC
rnacentral:lncRNA from 1 species